CAGCAGCCACGGUAAAACGUAGGUGGCAAGCGUUGUCCGGGAUUAUUGGGCGUAAAGGGCUCGCAGGCGGCUUCUUAAGUCUGAUGUGAAAGCCCCCGGCUCAACCGGGGAGGGUCAUUGGAAACUGGGAAACUUGAGUGCAGAAGAGGAGAGUGGAAUUCCACGUGUAGCGGUGAAAUGCGUAGAGAUGUGGAGGAACACCAGUGGCGAAGGCGACUCUCUGGUCUGUAACUGACGCUGAGGAGCGAAAGCGUGGGGAGCGAACAGGAUUAGAUACCCCAGUAGUCCCUGUCUCUUAUAC
rnacentral:rRNA from 1 species